GGAGAUAUAGCUCAGUCGGUUAGAGCGCAUGCCUCACAUGCAUGAGGUCGAGAGUUCGAGCCUCCCUAUCUCCA
rnacentral:tRNA from 1 species